rnacentral:rRNA from 1 species
CCUACGGGAGGCAGCAGUGGGGAAUAUUGCGCAAUGGGCGAAAGCCUGACGCAGCGACGCCGCGUGAGGGAUGAAGGUCUUCGGAUCGUAAACCUCUGUCAGCAGGGAAGCACGGUCACUGUGCUAAUCAGCAGUGAAUUGACGGUACCUGCAAAGGAAGCACCGGCUAACUCCGUGCCAGCAGCCGCGGUCAUACGGAGGGUGCGAGCGUUAAUCGGAAUUACUGGGCGUAAAGCGCUCGUAGGCGGUAUGUCAAGUCAAGGGGGAAAUCCCCGCGCUCAACGUGGGAACUGCCUUUGAAACUGGCAAACUGGAGUGUGUGAGAGGAUAGUGGAAUUCGAGGUGUAGGAGUGAAAUCCGUAGAUAUCUGGAGGAACAUCAGUGGCGAAGGCGACUAUCUGGCACAUAACUGACGCUGAGGAGCGAAAGCGUGGGUAGCAAACAGGAUUAGAUACCCGUGUAGUC